AUUCAAUAGUACAAUGCGUCGUGCUGUGCAUCAACUGCGAAAAAGUGCUGGGUGAGGCCAAGCGGACAAGCUUAUUGCUUACUAAGCUUGAAUUAACUGGAAAGUGCAGUGAGGCUAAAUAUUUGAAACAUAGAGCAUUCCACAAUGAAAAAUGCGAAUUUUCCAUUUUCGGAAUAUUUUGCAUCAGCACCAAGUUUUUGUCUCAGGUAUC